rnacentral:lncRNA from 1 species
UUUAAGACUAUUUCGCUUAGGAACCAGUCUUUUACGGGUAGACUCACACCUUAGAGUAUCAAGGGCACUCUUAAGAACCUCUAACUUUUGCGGGUAAGUUAGUACCUUAGAGUAUCAAGGAACUCUUAAAAACCUCUCUAAGCUUUAAGACUACUUCACUUAGGAACCAGUCUUUUACGGGUAGACUCACACCUUAGAGUAUCGAGGGCACUCUUAAGAACCUUUAACAUUUACGGGUAAGUUAGUACCUUAAAGUAUCAAGGAACUCUUAAAAACCUAGAAAUCUUUCAAGGUAGAUUCGACUUAAGAGUUUUCCCGGAAACUCUAUAAAACCAAACUAGAGUUUUAUGGUUGAACUCAAAAACCUUCUCUCACACUUUGUUACUAUUGAGACAACUCUCUCAACCAAAGUGGACACACACAAGAGGUGAUUAGAGGAGUGGAAUAUUUAAGCAAACACUACAAAAAACCAGCGCAGUUCUGGCGGCCAGGCCGCCGGUAUAAUGGUUCCUGGCGGCCAAGCCGACGAAAUUCCAUCGCCGAAAUUUUGGAUUCCGAUUUUAACAGAAAUUGUCCCUGCGGCUUAGUCGCUGAAUUUUUUUUUUGAAAAUUAUAUCCCGGCGGCCAGGCCGCCGGCUGUUAAUUUCGGAAAAUAAUUUUCCGGCGGCCUGGCCGCUGGUCAAUAUUUCCCGGCAGGAAAAAAAAUUCCCCGGGAAGAAAUUUCUGGCGGCCUAGCCGCUGGUCACUUUUGAAAAAUAAAAAAAAAAUUGAAAUUAAUAUGAAAUUGAAAAUAAAAUUAAAAAUGAAAUUGAUAUUGAAAUUGAUAUUGAAAUUGAAAUUGAAUUUGAAGUUUAAUAAUUAAUGUAGAACAAAAAUUAACUUCGACAAUCACUAAUUUAACUCAGGUAAGCGCAAGUUCGGAUUUUGAGCGAGCAUUGCGGAGUUGUAUUGUUGGAAAAACGCCAUUUGACGAGCCAUAAACUCUUCAUUCUGACGAGCCAUAAACUUUUCAAAUCACAAAUUUGUAAAUCCGCAAAACAAACCUUCAACCUAAAAUAAACAAACACUAAAUUAAAAUGAAUUAAACCUAAAUAACAUAAAUCAUGUACACUUAAUUAUUCAAUAACACUUCAAUAACAUAAAUCAUGUACACUAAAUAACAUAAAUCAUUCAUUAUUCAAUAACACUCAAUAGUAACAAAUAACAAUAACACAUACAUAAAUAACAAUACACUUAAAAUAAAAUUCAGUAAGAUUGACUGGAAAUCUAUUUUAUUUUAAAUCAUACACACAUGACACAUGAUAAUUAAAUAAAAAUCAUUAAGCUGGACUGACUAAAUGUUAUUUUAAACAAGUUGGUUGGGGAUUUAGAUAACACAAUGAAUGUUUUAUUAUUUAUCAUUAUUGAUUUAUUUUAUUUAUUAUGUUUGUGUGUCAGCAGGACAUGUUUUAUUCCAGCAAACAUGUUUUAUUAUGUCUGUGUAUAUAUUCCAGCAAACAUGUAUAUAUUCCAGCAAAUGUUUUAAUAUCAACAUUGAUCAACACAGCCUAUCAAUGACAUAAAUAAGGAUGCAAACAAAAAUAACAAAACUUUAGGCUUGCUAAAAACAGAUAAGAUAAAUAUAGAAAGCAACAGGAUCAUCAUGGUAUUUUAUUUGAGAGAAAUCUGAUUUAAACUUUAGGAUCACUAAAACACAGAUAAGAUAAACAUAGAAAGCAACAAGAUCAUCAUGGUAUUUUAUUUAAGAGAAAUCUGAUUUAAACCUUAGGAUUGCUACAACACAUAUAAGAUACACAUAGAAAGCAAAAGAGCAUCAUGAUAUUUUAUUUGAGAGAAAUCUGAUUUAAACUAACUACUCUUAAGUCUUAACAGUAGCUAAAUAUACCAUUGGUUAUCUCCUUGCCUCUCUACACCGACAGAUCUACCAUCUACAAUCAUAGAUCCAAAACCACCCCAAUAAAACCAUAACAAUUAUCAAAUUAACUAUUUAUUUUUCUGACCAGAACACUAAGAGAUCCACCGCUUAUGGUAUUCUCCUUCUAUGUGAAAAUGAUUUCACAACUAAAAUCUAAAAGAAGAAAAAGAAACACAUCGAUCAGAAAUCAAUUAAUAUAUCCUACCGAUAUACCAUUUACAAUCAUCGAUCCGAUAUCACUUCAAUAAAGCAACAACAAUUAUCAUAACAAUUGAUUCUAUUUAUAACUUUCACAAAUCAUAACUUUCACAAAUAACAACAAUAACAAAAUUACAAAGAACAAACAAAGAAACCCCAAACCCCAAAUCCCAAAAUUACAAAGAACGAAGAAAAAGAAAGAUUACAAACAAAGAACAAUAAUAACUUUCACAAAUAAUAAAUCCCAAAAUCAAAAAACCCCAAAUCAUAAACCCCAAAUCAUAAACAACAACAAAAAAUGAGAGAAAAAGAUGAAGAAGAUAACACAAUAACAAAAGAAGAUAACUAAUGGAGGAUGAAGAACAUACCUUUAGGAAGAACUUCGAAGAUCACCGGAGAUAAAUGGCUGGAAGAUCACCGGAGACAAGUUGGGGGAGGGUUUGGUAGGAGUGGGAGUAGUGGAGACGUUUUUGGGGGAAAAGAAAAUGAAAGAAAUCUGGAAUUUUUUUUCUUAUAUAAAAAUUUUCCGGCGGCCUGGCCGUCGGGAAAUACUUAAGUUUCGUUUGACUUAGUUUGACUGUACGGGGGACCACGGCGGCGCAAGUUGUAAAUUUAGAGUUUUCCAAAAAUCCUGGCGGCCAGGCCGCUGGCUACUGAAAAAAACAAGCGGGAAAAAGUAUCCAGCGGCCAAGCCGCCAGCAAUUUUUCUCCCGACCGUUGAGGGUUUUAGUAUGCCGGCGGCCAGGCCGCCGGAAAAUUUCUUCCCGACCGUUGGUGAAUUGGAGCUGGCGGCCAGGCCGCUGACAUUUUUUACAAAAAAAUAUUCCGUCGGCCUGGCCGUCAGCAAAUUUCUCUCAUUUACGAGGGAAAAUUAUGCAGGCGGACAAGUGUAACCUUCCGUCGGCCUGGCCGCCGGGAGAUGGGCGCCAGAACUGCGCUGAUUUUUUGUAGUGAAACAACACUUCUAACUUGUAGAGAUGAACAAGAAGAUUAGAAGAAGAAGUUGGUGAGCUUUUGAAGCUUUGGAAAGCUAGGACACUUGAACACUUGAAAGCUUGGAAGCUUGGAGGCAAAAACGUGUGGGCAAGUGUGGAGUGAAAGCUCUUGAGUUUGCUUGUAGUGUGGUGAGUGAAAAUGAGGGGUUUACCCUUCUAUUUAUAGCCUUGGCCACUCAAUGUCCACCCUUGGAUCUUCAAUGGAUGGCUCCUUGAUUUUUCACAUAAAUCCAAGUUUUGUCUUUGAUCUUAUCUUGAAUAAUGUUUUUCUUGGAUAGAGUUUGUUGGAGAAUCUUAUCUUUGUAUAAAUUCAAACUUGAAUAGUGUUUUGUCCCCUUGGAAUAUUAUACCUUGAAUAAAGUGUCAAAAGAUAAUAAUAAUAAUAAUAUUCAAGGUAAAAAUGCAAUUAUUCCAAAUAAUAAUAUUCAAGGUAAAAAUACAAUUCUCCGAAUUUGACUUUUAACUUUGACUUAAACCUUUAACUCAAAUGAUUAAUUAAUUAAUUGGAGUUAGGUUUAAUAUCGAUUGACUUAUUUAACCCCUAUUGAUUAAUAGUGUAAUUAGGGUUUAAAUUGACAUGAUUAAAAUAUAAUUCUAUGUCGACAAUUUUGAUUCUACAUUUGGAAGAUAAGGUGUUAGAAAUGACCAUUGGUGAUGUAGGGCAUAUCUUGGGUCUUCCAUUUUCAGGAGCUAUGAUAUGUAUUGAUAAGGAAUCCGAAAUUACUUACUGGACACCAUUUUGGGAAAAAUAUUUCAACGACUCGCAAGUAACAAAGUAAGAAAGAUAUUUCAGUAGUUGAUCUUUUGAUAUUUAUUUUAACCUCAUCCAUUUUGCAGUUCAAUGAUAAAGGAAGUCUUCAAGAAAACAGUACGCGAGGGAACUGACGAUCCAGACUAUAUAGAAGACUGUUUCCGCUUGUGGUUCUGUAUGUUGUUCUCGAGUUUUCUGUUACCAACCACAAGAACAGUGUUCCCGUUGAAAUUAUUCCAUUACCUAGAGAGAAUGGAAUAUAUUUCAAAAUUUAACUGGUCAAGUCUCAUAUUCAAUCAGAUAUUCACAAAGAUGGAUAAGGCUUCGCAAUCAGUUCAACGUCGAGAGAGAAUUAGUGGUCGAGUAACAGAAUACGUCCACGGAUGCGCCUUAGUUCUUAAUGUAAGUAUAAACGAUUUUUUAGUAUGAAUAUAAUAUUUAUUGGUUUUAUUAAACUAUUGCAUGAUAGGUAUUCAUUCCUAUGGGAGCAUACGACUCUAUUCAGACCUUCGCCAAGGAAUUCAAUCAUAUUUCAAAGAUAUGAGGGAUGUUCGAAGAGGAGGGCCCGCACAAUAGAAUCUCUAUGUAACGAAGAGGUAUUGUUCAUUGUCUAAGUCAUAUGAAAUAUAAAUAGAAUUUCAUAUUAUGCAUUCUUAAUGUAGGUAACAAUGAAAGCUAUGUUCUACAACGUGGAAAAUGCUUCAACAAAGGUUAAAGGUCGAUAGAAAUUUGUAAUCUUGUUAUGUAAUGAUUCAAGUAGAAUUUGUAAUUUAUUUCGUACAAAAUUCUGUUCUAGUACUAACUAUGUAAUGUUGUCAAUGUAAAUGUUGUUAUGUGAUAAUAAUUUGUACUUUUAUUUUACGUACUUAUAUCCUCGAGAGCUAAUAUUGGUCGUCGAGGGGUAUUUUAAGAACUCGAAUGCUAAUAUUGGUCCUCGAGAAGUAAUAUUGGUCCUCGAGAAGUAAUAUUGGUCCUCGAGAGCUAAUAUUUGUCCUCGAGGGCUAUUCUCAGUCCUCGAGGGCUACUUUCAAUCAUUCAAUUACUUCUCGAUAGCUCGAAUUAGUCCUUCAAUUACAUUUUGUUAAUGAUUUCAUUCGUGUAUGUGUACGCGAGGUAAAUACUUGUAAUAUUUUCAUAUUUUUGAAUAACAGGAGGAUAAGCAACUAUAUCAACCUACCUUAUCUGAUUUCAAAAGAAAAAGACCCUACUGGAAUUGCGUCGUGAAGGUAGAAUUUUUUGAACAGACCAGAUGUAAAAUAAUAUUAUGAUUUUAUGAAUAUCAAUUUUUCCUAAACAGCCAGAUGAUCCAGAAGAUGAUGGAUUCGAAUGAUAUAACGAAGGUUAGUAUUCUAGUAUUAAUUUAGUAUAAUAAUUUUAAGAAGAUACUUAUUACAAUAUUAAAGUAGAUGAUUGGAACGAGGCCGAGAUGUACGGGAACAUCAAAAUGAAGGGAAAACAAAGAUAGAUCCAUCGUGCGAAAUUAUAAACAUAUCAUCAUCUACUGAAUGUAUAGAUUAUGGCUCUCUAUCAUUAGUAGAAUAUGGUAGCGCCGGCGCGUCCUGCUCUAGAUCUAGAAGAAUCGGGACCCCUCGGACUAUAGAAAAAACUUAGAGGAUUUAAUGAAUUUAGCUUGUGAUAAGUUAAGUGAACUCGAUAUGGACGAGGUUAAGAGUAUUACAUCUGAUUUGGAAGUGAUGUCCAUUGGUAAUAGCGACAUCCCUUUAUCAAUAUUACCAUCAAAUUUCAAUUUAAUAUGUAGUCCUUGCAGCCAGGACAUUAGUACUCCGAUACCCAUGACACGAAAAGAAAUUUGUGGCCCAUCAAAAUACGUGUAUUCGGAAACAAAUUUGAUCAUUAACAUUAGGGACGACGACGAACUAUAUGAUCAAUACUUGAAUGAUAGUCGUUACACAAAGAUGAGUGUCUCAAUGCUCGACGGCAUAUGCUACAACGAAAUGCAAUUGAAGAAAGAGUAUCACAAAAAAACAAUGAGUGAGGCAUUUCCUGAAUUGGCCGAGAUUGUAAGAAGAAUGAGGGUUAAACAACCAAGUGCCCAGAUAAUAUCCUCAGAGCACUAGGCAUCAGCUGCGGCCACUGUAGAUCGAAUUGAAGAGAGCAUGGUCAUAAGGAAAAAAUAUGCAUCUGAAGAUCUAUAAAAUGUUGCACGUCGUAUUUGUUGGAUCGUGAUCCGAGGCUAUAAGGGGGGGUGAUAGCCUCUUUUCGAUUUAGACAGGUUGAUAGCGGAAUUACCUGUAAAUACUUAGCAAACAAAUGGUUGAACAGUAAUGAUAUAAGAAUAUUAUUAUUUUAUAGUAUUGCAAGUAUUACUCUUUGAAGCUUACUACAGUAUAUGAAUAAUGAGUCAACUUGCUUGAUUAUGUUUCAAGUACAACUAUAGUAUAUGAAUACUAAGUUAUAUUGAAAACACAAAUUGUAUUGUAGAGUAAAUGACCAGAUAACUGGAUAUAUAGAUAAGCAAGUAAAUGACCAGAUAACUGGAUAUAUUGAUAAACAAGUAAAUGACCAGAUAACUGGAUAAUCUGAUAAACAAGUAAAUGACCAGAUAACUGGAUAAAUAUGAUAAGAAAUAUAAGACCAGAUAACUGGAUAAUUUGAUAAACAAGUAAGUGACCAGAUAACUGGAUAAAUAUGAUAAGAAAUAUAAGAAUUUAAAGCAAUAAAUAUAACCUCAGAUAGUUGACCAGAUAACUGGAUGAGGGAUCUGCGUAAAGUAGUCAACCUCUGUACUUGACCAGAUAACUGGAAGAGGGAUCUUUUUAAUUAUGUGUUGUUUUUAAGUGAAAGAUAAAACUAAAAUUAACAGAGAACAACACAAGAGAUUUAUACUGGUUCACCCAAACACGGGCUAGUCCAGUCCCGACCCACUGCCGGAUUUCACUCGCCUAAAGGUAAUGGCAAAACCUUUUCUAAGCUUUAAGGCUACUACGCUUAGGAACCAGUCUUUUACGGGUAGACUCACACCUUAGAGUAUUACAGGGCACUCUUAAGAACCUCUAACUUUUACGGGUAAGUUAGUACCUUAGAGUAUUCAAGGAACUCUUAAAAACCUUUCUAAGCUUUAAGGCUACUACGCUUAGGAACCAGUCUUUUACAGGUAGACUCACACCUUAGAGUAUUACAGGGCACUCUUAAGAACCUUUCUAAGCUUUAAGGCUACUUCGCUUAGGAACCAGUCUUUUACAGGUAGACUCACACCUAAGAGUUUUCCCGGAAACUCUAUAAAACCAAACAGAGCUUUAUGGUUGAGCUCACAAACCUUUCCUCACACUUUGGUACUAUUGAGACAACCCUCUCAACCAAAGUGGACACACACAAGAGGUGAUUAGAGGAGUGGAAUAUCAAAGCAAACAACACUUCUUACU